rnacentral:rRNA from 1 species
UGGUAAUACCGGAUGCUCCGCUCCAUCGCAUGGUGGGGUGGGAAAUGCUUUUGCGGCAUGGGAUGGGGUCGCGUCCUAUCAGCUUGUUGGCGGGGUGAUGGCCCACCAAGGCGUUGACGGGUAGCCGGCCUGAGAGGGUGACCGGCCACAUUGGGACUGAGAUACGGCCCAGACUCCUACGGGAGGCAGCAGUGGGGAAUAUUGCACAAUGGGCGCAAGCCUGAUGCAGCGACGCCGCGUGCGGGAUGGAGGCCUUCGGGUUGUAAACCGCUUUUGUUCAAGGGCAAGGCACGGUUUCGGCCGUGUUGAGUGGAUUGUUCGAAUAAGCACCGGCUAACUACGUGCCAGCAGCCGCGGUAAUACGUAGGGUGCGAGCGUUAUCCGGAUUUAUUGGGCGUAAAGGGCUCGUAGGCGGUUCGUCGCGUCCGGUGUGAAAGUCCAUCGCCUAACGGUGGAUCUGCGCCGGGUACGGGCGGGCUGGAGUGCGGUAGGGGAGACUGGAAUUCCCGGUGUAACGGUGGAAUGUGUAGAUAUCGGAAAAAAAACACC